UAAAGGUUUGGUCCUGGCCUUUUUAUUGGCUCCUAGUGAACUUACACAUGCAAACAUCCAUGCCCCGGUGAGAAUGCCCUUCAGAUCACUAUGAUCAAAAGGAGCAGGUAUCAAGCCCACUAUAUUUAGUUGCUCAUGACACCUUGCUCAACCACACCCCCACGGGAUACAGCAGUGACUAAAAUUAAGCUCAUGAACGAAAGUUCGACUAAGUUACACUAUUUAGGGUUGGUAAAUUUCGUGCCAGCCACCGCGGUCAUACGAUUAACCCUAGUCAAUAAAACACGGCGUAAAGCGUGAUUAGAACAAUAAACUUAAUAAGACCAAGUUUAAGCUAAGCUGUAAAAAGCCCUAGCUACAAUAAAGAUAGUCGACGAAAGUAAUCUUAGAAGUUUUGAACCCACGAUAGCUAAGACCCAAACUGGGAUUAGAUACCCCACUAUGCUUAGCCCUAAACCUAAAUUCUCAAAUAACAAGAUUAUUCGCCAGAGUACUACUAGCCACAGCUUAAAACUCAAAGGACUUGGCGGUGCUUUACAUCCCUCUAGAGGAGCCUGUUCUAUAAUCGAUAAACCCCGAUAUACCUUACCACCUUUUGCAAAUAUCAGCCUAUAUACCGCCAUCUUCAGCAAACCUUAACAAAGCCUCACAGUAAGCACAAUAAUAUAAUAUAAAAACGUUAGGUCAAGGUGUAGCCUAUAGGGUGGAAAGAAAUGGGCUACAUUUUCUACUAUCUAGAACAGCCCCACAAUAGCUUUCAUGAAACUCAAAGCCUAAGGCGGAUUUAGUAGUAAGUUAAGAAUAGAGAGCUUAGCUGAAUCGGGCAAUAAAGCACGCACACACCGCCCGUCACCCUCUUCAAGUCCUACMGACAGGUGACAAURMCUAAUAUACCUUAUUNNNNNNNNNNAGCAGCAUGAGAAGAGAUAAGUCGUAACAAGGUAAACAUACUGGAAAGUGUGUUUGGAAUAAU
rnacentral:rRNA from 1 species